rnacentral:rRNA from 1 species
AUUGAACGCUGGCGGCACGCCUAACACAUGCAAGUUGAACGGCAGCACGGGUGGGGUAACCCACUGGGUGGCGAGUAGCGAACGGGUGAGUAACGCGUAGGAAUAUGUCUUAUAGACUGGGACAACUUGUGGAAACGCAAGAUAAUACCGGAUGAGUUCUGAGGAAGAAAGGCUGGGGACCCGUAAGGGCCUGGCGCUAUAGGGGUAGCCUGCGUCCGAUUAGCUAGUUGGUGGGGUAAGAGCCUACCAAGGCGAAGAUUGGUAGCUGGUCUGAGAGGAUGGACAGCCACACUGGGACUGAGACACGGCCCAGACUCCUACGGGAGGCAGCAGUGGGGAAUAUUGGACAAUGGGGGCAACCCUGAUCCAGCGAUGCCGCGUGUGUGAAGAAGGCCUGAGGGUUGUAAAGCACUUUCAGUUAGGAGGAGAGUACUUAGGUUAAGAGCUUGGGUAUGAGACGUUACUAACAGAAGAAGCACCGGCUAACUCCGUGCCAGCCGCCGCGGUAAUAC